UAAUACAGAGGGGGCAAGCGUUAUUCGGAAUUAUUGGGCGUAAAGGGCGCGUAGGCGGCUUGGCAAGUGGAAGGUGAAAUCCCUCGGCUUAACCGAGGAAUUGCCUUCCAGACUGCCUUGCUUGAGGCCGGGAGAGGCGAGUGGAAUUCCCAGUGUAGCGGUGAAAUGCGUAGAUAUUGGGAGGAACACCAGUGGCGAAGGCGGCUCGCUGGACCGGUUCUGACGCUGAGGCGCGAAAGCGUGGGGAGCAAACGGG
rnacentral:rRNA from 1 species